AUCACUUCUCAGCCUUUUGGCUAAGAUCAAGUGUAAAAUAAUGAAUCUUUUAUUUUGAUUUCUUGGAACUCCAU
ensembl:snRNA U2 U2 spliceosomal RNA